rnacentral:lncRNA from 1 species
GUUCAUUAAAAGAAGAAGAGGAAGAGGAAGAGAAAACAAAUGUUUUCCAGAGAGGUCAAAGUCCACCAUGCCUUCAGAGGUUCCAUAACACUUUGGACAGAGCUCCAUCAUUGCUUGUAUCAGCUCCUGUUACUAUUUCCUCCACUAAACUCCUCAUGACCAUCUUCGUGCCCACAUCUGCAGCCUAGACCAUCUAGUGAGCACUGGAACAUCUUGAUGAGCAAAUGACAGCCAUUCUCCCUGAUUUUUCUUCAAAAAUGAAACUGCUGCUGCUCCACUCCCUUUGGAUUGAG